CAGUAGCCGCGGGAAUACGAAGGGGGCUAGCGUUGCUCGGAAUGACUGGGCGUAAAGGGCGCGUAGGCGGCGAUCAAAGUCAGGCGUGAAAUUCCUGGGCUCAACCUGGGGGCUGCGUUUGAUACGGGCAGUCUAGAGUGAGGAAGAGGGUUGUGGAAUUCCCAGUGUAGAGGUGAAAUUCGUAGAUAUUCGGAAGAACACCAGUGGCGAAGGCGACACACUGGCUCAUUACUGACGCUGAGGCUCGAAAGCGUGGGGGGCAAACAGGAUUAGAUACCCCCGUAGUCCCUGUCUCUUAUAC
rnacentral:rRNA from 1 species